rnacentral:rRNA from 1 species
GAGGAAAGAGGGAGGCGUGCCUAAUACAUGCAAGUCGAGCGAACGGACGAGAAGCUUGCUUCUCUGAUGUUAGCGGCGGACGGGUGAGUAACACGUGGAUAACCUACCUAUAAGACUGGGAUAACUUCGGGAAACCGUAGCUAAUACCGGAUAAUAUUUUGAACCGCAUGGUUCAAAAGUGAAAGACGGUCUUGCUGUCACUUAUAGAUGGAUCCGCGCUGCAUUAGCUAGUUGGUAAGGUAACGGCUUACCAAGGCAACGAUGCAUAGCCGACCUGAGAGGGUGAUCGGCCACACUGGAACUGAGACACGGUCCAGACUCCUACGGGAGGCAGCAGUAGGGAAUCUUCCGCAAUGGGCGAAAGCCUGACGGAGCAACGCCGCGUGAGUGAUGAAGGUCUUCGGAUCGUAAAACUCUGUUAUUAGGGAAGAACAUAUGUGUAAGUAACUGUGCACAUCUUGACGGUACCUAAUCAGAAAGCCACGGCUAACUACGUG